GGACACUGUAAGCACCCAGACCACUUCAGCUCAUUGAAGUGGUCUGGGUGCAAACUCCCAUCACCCUUAACCCUAGAGUGGUAAUUAUUGUAGUUUUUAUAAACUGCAAUAAUUACCUGCUCGGGUUAACUCCUCCUACCAGACAGCCACUAGAGGGACUUUCGGGCUUGAAGGCAACUUUUCGUCGCAUAAACGACACUGGACGCCCUCAUGCUAUGCAUGAGGACCUCCAGCGUCACCGGAAUCCCCCAUAGGAAAGCACUGAAUAAUGAUUUCCUAUGGGGAAAUACUAAUUGCUGCGCAUGCGCAUUAGGUCUCCCGCGGCAGAGGAGGAGCGUGGGCGGAGCUGAGCCAGCGCCAAGGGAUAUUGGUGUUGGACCCAGGUAAGUGAUAGAAGGGAUAGUUAUUAACCCCUUUAACACCACAGAGGUGGUCCUUGACAAAGGAGUAAGCUAUAGUGCCAGGAAAACAAGUUUAUUUUCCUGGCACUAUAGUUUCCCUUUAAAUCCUG